CCUCCUUUUUGGGGCAGAUGGCAGCGCCCUGUCGCUGGCCCACAGACCUCGUGGAUGCCGCAUAGAAUGGCCCGAAGUAAACACGGGGUUCUUUCCCAUAAGGGCCCCGUCCAGGGCUGAGUCACCUUCUCCCCUGUAGUCUUUGCGGGAGUUUAAAGGAAACAAACCACUCACCUGCUGCAAGUGCUUAGCAUUGUGCUAGAAUAAUUACAGAAGCUAUCUCAAGCUGAGCGUCAUGGUGCACGCCUGUAAUCCCAGCUCCUUCGGAGGCUGAGACGUGAGGAUCUCUUGAGCCCAGGAGAGAUCACAACACUGCAUUCCAGCCUGGGUGACAAGAGCUGAAGAAGCUGGCAGCUCCCACAGAAGCCUGCUCUUCUUAGCCAAAGGACCUGAAAAAGAGAAGCCUAGUAAGACAGAAAACCUUUAGACAAUAACUUCUACGCUCGCGCCAAACAUGGCAGAAAAAACCGUAGCUGCAACCCAUCCACCUGAGUGGAAGCCAAGUGGGAAACUUAGAUUUCCACUUUUGCCAGACUAUAAUGAGGUGUCCCGUGCCACCCACCACCACCUUGCCACCACCAGUGUGGUGCCAGAGGAAGCCUAGUGAAAAGGCAGGACUUUGACAACCACUCAAAGUCAUGAGGUGGAGGCAACACACCCUGCCUCUGUGAUGUCAGAGAGGUCCACGUCAGGAGCAGACUGAGGCCCUCCCUGUCAGGCAGACAUUCGUGGAGGCUUAGUGAAGACCUGGAACACCCAUCUCCACCCAGAAGUAAUGAAGAGCACCUCCAACAGAGGCCAAGUAGGCCCGAAGAGUACAGCACCCAACUGGACUUCUACCCCCAGCCAGCAGUAACGUGCUGACCAGCCCCACACCCCCACCCUCCUUGCUGGAGCAUUAUCAAAGAAACCAAUUAAAAAAGAAUGUUUCAAUAAGAUCCAUGUGCUGUCCUUUAAAGCACAAAGUUUUGUAUUUUGGCCAGGCGUGGUGGCUUAUGCCUGUAAUCCCAGCACUUUGAGAGGCCAGGGUGGGAGGACUGCUUAAGCCCAGGGGUUUGAGACCAACCUAGGCAACAUGG